CCUACGGGUGGCAGCAGUGAGGAAUAUUGGUCAAUGGGCGGGAGCCUGAACCAGCCAAGUAGCGUGAAGGAUGACUGCCCUACGGGUUGUAAACUUCUUUUAUCAAGGAACAAAGUGCGGCACGUGUGCCUUUUUGAAUGUACCUUAUGAAUAAGCAUCGGCUAACUCCGUGCCAGCAGCCGCGGUAAUACGGAGGAUCCGAGCGUUAUCCGGAUUUAUUGGGUUUAAAGGGGGCGUAGACGGGUUGUUAAAUCAGUGGUGAAAGUUUGCGGGUCAACCGUAGAAGUGCGGUUGAAACUGGCAGUCUUGAGUAGGGUUGAAGUAGGCGGAAUUCGUGGUGUAGCGGUGAAAUGCUUAGAUAUCACGAAGAACUCCGAUUGCGAAGGCAGCUUACUAAACCGCCACUGACAUUGAUGCACGAAAGUGUGGGUAUCGAACAGGAUUAGAUACCCGAGUAGUC
rnacentral:rRNA from 1 species